CCUACGGGUGGGCAGCAGUGGGGAAUAUUGGACAAUGGGCGAAAGCCUGAUCCAGCCAUGCCGCGUGUGUGAAGAAGGCCUUCGGGUUGUAAAGCACUUUCAGUGGGGAAGAAAGCCUUGGGGCUAAUACCCUCGAGGAAGGACAUCACCCACAGAAGAAGCACCGGCUAACUCCGUGCCAGCAGCCGCGGUAAUACGGAGGGUGCGAGCGUUAAUCGGAAUUACUGGGCGUAAAGCGCGCGUAGGCGGUCUGAUAAGCCGGUUGUGAAAGCCCCGGGCUCAACCUGGGAACGGCAUUCGGAACUGUCAGGCUAGAGUGCAGGAGAGGAAGGUAGAAUUCCCGGUGUAGCGGUGAAAUGCGUAGAGAUCGGGAGGAAUACCAGUGGCGAAGGCGGCCUUCUGGACUGACACUGACGCUGAGGUGCGAAAGCGUGGGUAGCAAACAGGAUUAGAUACCCCUGUAGUC
rnacentral:rRNA from 1 species